rnacentral:rRNA from 1 species
GGGUUGUGAGGUUAAGCGACUAAGCGUACACGGUGGAUGCCCUGGCAGUCAGAGGCGAUGAAGGACGUGCUAAUCUGCGAAAAGCGUCGGUAAGGUGAUAUGAACCGUUAUAACCGGCGAUGUCCGAAUGGGGAAACCCAGUGCAAUUCGUUGCACUAUCGUUAACUGAAUACAUAGGUUAACGAGGCGAACCGGGGGAACUGAAACAUCUAAGUACCCCGAGGAAAAGAAAUCAACCGAGAUUCCCCCAGUAGCGGCGAGCGAACGGGGAGCAGCCCAGAGUCUGAAUCAGCUUGUGUGUUAGUGGAACGGUCUGGAAAGUCCGACGGUACAGGGUGAUAGUCCCGUACACCAAAAUGCACAGGUUGUGAACUCGAAGAGUAGGGCGGGACACGUGGUAUCCUGUCUGAAUAUGGGGGGACCAUCCUCCAAGGCUAAAUACUCCUGACUGACCGAUAGUGAACCAGUACCGUGAGGGAAAGGCGAAAAGAACCCCGGCGAGGGGAGUGAAAAAGAACCUGAAACCGUGUACGUACAAGCAGUGGGAGCACCUUUAUGGUGUGACUGCGUACCUUUUGUAUAAUGGGUCAGCGACUUAUAUUCUGUAGCAAGGUUAACCGUAUAGGGGAGCCGCAGGGAAACCGAGUCUUAACUGGGCGUUAAGUUGCAGGGUAUAGACCCGAAACCCGGUGAUCUAGCCAUGGGCAGGUUGAAGGUUGGGUAACACUAACUGGAGGACCGAACCGACUAAUGUUGAAAAAUUAGCGGAUGACUUGUGGCUGGGGGUGAAAGGCCAAUCAAACCGGGAGAUAGCUGGUUCUCCCCGAAAGCUAUUUAGGUAGCGCCUCGUGAACUCAUCUUCGGGGGUAGAGCACUGUUUCGGCUAGGGGGUCAUCCCGACUUACCAACCCGAUGCAAACUACGAAUACCGAAGAAUGUUAUCACGGGAGACACACGGCGGGUGCUAACGUCCGUCGUGAAGAGGGAAACAACCCAGACCGCCAGCUAAGGUCCCAAAGUCAUGGUUAAGUGGGAAACGAUGUGGGAAGGCACAGACAGCCAGGAUGUUGGCUUAGAAGCAGCCAUCAUUUAAAGAAAGCGUAAUAGCUCACUGGUCGAGUCGGCCUGCGCGGAAGAUGUAACGGGGCUAAACCAUGCACCGAAGCUGCGGCAGCGACACUAUGUGUUGUUGGGUAGGGGAGCGUUCUGUAAGCCUGCGAAGGUGGCCUGUGAGGGCUGCUGGAGGUAUCAGAAGUGCGAAUGCUGACAUAAGUAACGAUAAAGCGGGUGAAAAGCCCGCUCGCCGGAAGACCAAGGGUUCCUGUCCAACGUUAAUCGGGGCAGGGUGAGUCGACCCCUAAGGCGAGGCCGAAAGGCGUAGUCGAUGGGAAACAGGUUAAUAUUCCUGUACUUGGUGUUACUGCGAAGGGGGGACGGAGAAGGCUAUGUUAGCCGGGCGACGGUUGUCCCGGUUUAAGCAUGUAGGCGGAGGUUCCAGGUAAAUCCGGUACCUUUUAACGCUGAGGUGUGAUGACGAGGCACUACGGUGCUGAAGUAACAAAUGCCCUGCUUCCAGGAAAAGCCUCUAAGCAUCAGGUAACAUUAAAUCGUACCCCAAACCGACACAGGUGGUCAGGUAGAGAAUACCAAGGCGCUUGAGAGAACUCGGGUGAAGGAACUAGGCAAAAUGGUGCCGUAACUUCGGGAGAAGGCACGCUGGUGUGUAGGUGAAGUCCCUGCGGAUGGAGCUGAGACCAGUCGAAGAUACCAGCUGGCUGCAACUGUUUAUUAAAAACACAGCACUGUGCAAACACGAAAGUGGACGUAUACGGUGUGACGCCUGCCCGGUGCCGGAAGGUUAAUUGAUGGGGUUAUCCGUAAGGAGAAGCUCUUGAUCGAAGCCCCGGUAAACGGCGGCCGUAACUAUAACGGUCCUAAGGUAGCGAAAUUCCUUGUCGGGUAAGUUCCGACCUGCACGAAUGGCGUAAUGAUGGCCAGGCUGUCUCCACCCGAGACUCAGUGAAAUUGAACUCGCUGUGAAGAUGCAGUGUACCCGCGGCAAGACGGAAAGACCCCGUGAACCUUUACUAUAGCUUGACACUGAACAUUGAGCCUUGAUGUGUAGGAUAGGUGGGAGGCUUUGAAGCGUGGACGCCAGUCUGCGUGGAGCCAACCUUGAAAUACCACCCUUUAAUGUUUGAUGUUCUAACGUUGGCCCGUAAUCCGGGUUGCGGACAGUGUCUGGUGGGUAGUUUGACUGGGGCGGUCUCCUCCCAAAGAGUAACGGAGGAGCACGAAGGUUAGCUAAUCCUGGUCGGACAUCAGGAGGUUAGUGCAAUGGCAUAAGCUAGCUUGACUGCGAGCGUGACGGCGCGAGCAGGUGCGAAAGCAGGUCAUAGUGAUCCGGUGGUUCUGAAUGGAAGGGCCAUCGCUCAACGGAUAAAAGGUACUCCGGGGAUAACAGGCUGAUACCGCCCAAGAGUUCAUAUCGACGGCGGUGUUUGGCACCUCGAUGUCGGCUCAUCACAUCCUGGGGCUGAAGUAGGUCCCAAGGGUAUGGCUGUUCGCCAUUUAAAGUGGUACGCGAGCUGGGUUUAGAACGUCGUGAGACAGUUCGGUCCCUAUCUGCCGUGGGCGCUGGAGAAUUGAGGGGGGCUGCUCCUAGUACGAGAGGACCGGAGUGGACGCAUCACUGGUGUUCGGGUUGUCAUGCCAAUGGCACUGCCCGGUAGCUAAAUGCGGAAGAGAUAAGUGCUGAAAGCAUCUAAGCACGAAACUUGCCCCGAGAUGAGUUCUCCCUGAGACUAUAAGUCUCCUGAAGGAACGUUGAAGACGACGACGUUGAUAGGCCGGGUGUGUAAGCGCAGCGAUGCGUUGAGCUAACCGGUACUAAUGAACCGUGAGGCUUAACCUUACAACGCCGAAGCUGUU